ensembl:lncRNA
GUAGUAACAGAACCCCACAGUAGAGGUGUAGACAUAAUAAAUGUAGUAACAGAACCCCACAGUAGAGGUGUAGACAUAAUAAAUGUAGUAACAGAACCCCACAGUAGAGGUGUAGACAUAAUAAAUGUAGUAACAGAACCCCACAGUAGAGGAGGGGUAGUACCAAGAUGGCUGAGUGGUGGGUUCAACACAGCGCCCCCUGUCAGUCAUCUAGUGUAUUUAGAUGGUUGAGUGGUGGCUUCACUACAGCACCCCCUAUCAGUCAUCUAGUGUAUUUAGAUGGCUGAGUGGUGGGUUCAACACAGCGCCCCCUGUCAGUCAUCUAGUGUAUUUAGAUGGUUGAGUAGUGGCUUCAACACAGCGCCCCCUGUCAGUCAUCUAGGGUUUAUCUACAUCAUUGGUCUUCACCUGUGUACAUCUUCAUAAU